rnacentral:lncRNA from 1 species
CCAAGGCAGCUUCCAGGGUGCUAAAGUGUGCAAAUAGUGAAGCCACCAGGGCCGGCCGAUUCAUCCUACCGAGCGCCAGCUCAGUGUUUGGAGCUGAGUCCCUCUCCUGGGCGCAGAUCAGAGCCCCGAGUCCCCAGCAGAGCCAUUCACACGCCGCAGGGCGCAGGGGAUUAAUUGGAGGGGGAUGUUGUGAAUUCCUGAGAGUCUUUCUCCGGCCAGCAGUCGGGCGGGAUGUUGCUACAUGAAAGCUUUGCUGUCAGUAUCAAUCAUCAUUGCGGGGCACAACAUUCCACGGGAAGAAUCGGCCUCAUUUGUUCAGUGCUGACCGGAAGCUCAAGGAAGCAUGAGGCAGACGAAGAAGAAGAUGGAGGUGGUGACAACAGCAGGAGCAAUGGUGUGGUUCUCUUUCACAUGGUCAAAGACAGAAUGUCAGUUGUGACAGUUGAACUGGAUUGCCAACUUGAUUGGAUUGAGAGCUGCCCAUGGGAUCAGUAAAGCCCACUUCUGGAUGUGUGCAGUGGGUCAUGGAGGUGAGGCCCUGGGUACUGUAAUUGCUCCCUUCCUCUCUGCCACCAUUGCCCUGCUGUGCUGCCUGCUUGCUGGGAACUAGACAACUUUGCUCCACCACACCCUUCCACCAUGAUGCUCCUGCCUCAGAGCCAGCCAACCAAG